AUUGAACGCUGGCGGCAUGCUUUACACAUGCAAGUCGAACGGUAGAGGGGCAACCCUUGAGAGUGGCGAACGGGUGAGUAAUGCAUCGGAACGUGCCCAGUAGUGGGGGAUAGCCCGGCGAAAGCCGGAUUAAUACCGCAUGAGACCUGACGGUGAAAGCGGGGGAUCGCAAGACCUCGCGCUAUUGGAGCGGCCGAUGUCAGAUUAGCUAGUUGGUGGGGUAAAGGCCUACCAAGGCGACGAUCUGUAGCUGGUCUGAGAGGACGACCAGCCACACUGGGACUGAGACACGGCCCAGACUCCUACGGGAGGCAGCAGUGGGGAAUUUUGGACAAUGGGCGCAAGCCUGAUCCAGCCAUGCCGCGUGCGGGAAGAAGGCCUUCGGGUUGUAAACCGCUUUUGUCGGGGAAGAAAUCUUCUGGGCUAAUACCCUGGGAGGAUGACGGUACCUGAAGAAUAAGCACCGGCUAACUACGUGCCAGCCGCCGCGGUAAAAC
rnacentral:rRNA from 1 species